AGUUGCAAUAAGUAUUGUGGUCUGUGAAAUCAAUGAAAAAAUGCUAGUUCUAUAAUAACAAGAAAUUAAUGGUCAAAUCAAAAAAUGUUCAUUGAUUGGUUCGAUGACAUCAGAAAGUGCAACAAACAUAUUGUACAAUUUAUACACAAAUCCUGUUGGGCAUUGAAGAUAUUAUUAGCAAUAGGUAUUAUUAAUUAUAGCAGUUUUUUUUAUCAAUACGAUUGUGGUUUUUUCGAUAAUUUAAUAUCAGCAGCUUAGAAUUUUUUUAUAUAAUUUAUUAUCUGCCAGCGUGUUUCAAAGUAUUGGGAAAGUCGUCCGACUGAUUGACCGCACAGUAGUGUUAUUUUGAUGUCGUGUUACAACAUAGUGAAACGGACCGCACGCGAUCGACUUACGCAUUGUUUCGGCGCAUCGGAACGUUUCGUUUUCGUGCACACCUACCUACCCCUUGUGUUUGUGUACCAUAAUAUCACACAAUGGGCGAGCGUUGAAACGGUUUCAAAACAUUGUUUUUUUUUAUUAUUAUAUUAUUUCGCUUGCCGGCACAUCGCAGCAGCGCUGUCUGCUCGUGCACGAACUCGUGGAAUUCCAUGGAUAAAAACCCAAAACCUUUCUGUGCAUCUGGAGCGCCAUACACGAGCCGGCACUGUUGGCUUUUCCAAACUGGACUAGCAGACCGCUGUCCUUAUUGCCCAUAUGGGGUAGCCUGAUGACUGCGGUGCUAGUGUUUCCAGCAUGUCUGAUUAUCAAUAAAUACGGUGUUUGCACUUGUCGGCCAUAUGUCAGUCCGUGGGCGUCGUGGAGAUGACGCCUCUGAUAAUAACCAUGUCGGCGCAGUGGUUCCCGAAGAACGAGAGGAACACGACGGCUACCGGUCAGUGCUGGCGUGAAUGAUCGUCGCGCGUGCGCUUUCGGCAUAAUGUACCGCGCAUAUGUACCAUAAUAUUAUAAUCUAUACACUUUAAUAUUAUAUAUAUUAUACCGUAAUAUUGAUUCGGUCGCGCGAGUUUAAAAGUUUCUGUCUGGCAGACACGAUGGUUCGGUGGUCACGUACAUAAUCGUCCCCAAUGUGGUAUCGGUGGUGAAUAACGGACCGCUGAAACCGUUCAUCAUGCACAUGUUGCACGCAUGUCUGGUCCUGAACGUGAUCGUCACGCUUUUGGUGUACAUUUCUUCCCGGAGCGCAUAUACGCCGCUGAACACCAAACCUGUCGAUGUCGAACAGAGCGCCAAAAUGUUUCACUUGCUAAAAACGCUCGUCGCGUACGUGUGUUCCUCUCCUCCGCUCCUGACUCUUUAAUCGCGAAUCGUAAUUUUUCUUUAUUCCCCAUUUUCAAAGAAUCGCAACGUUUGGUGUCUUGUGUUUGCCUUCACGUUGACAGUUCCGUGGGCAGCGCUGAUACCGUCAACUUUUUCCAAACUCAACGUGCCACCCGUAAUUUAUUUGUCGUCGACGGCGAUUCGUAUUCAUUUUUUU